rnacentral:rRNA from 1 species
GACGAACGCUGGCGGCGUGCUUAACACGUGCAAGUCGAACGGAAAGGCCCUGCUUUUGUGGGGUGCUCGAGUGGCGAACGGGUGAGUAACACGUGAGUAACCUGCCCUUGACUUUGGGAUAACUUCAGGAAACUGGGGCUAAUACCGGAUAGGAGCUCCUGCUGCAUGGUGGGGGUUGGAAAGUUUCGGCGGUUGGAGAUGGACUCGCGGCUUAUCAGCUUGUUGGUGGGGUAGUGGCUUACCAAGGCUUUGACGGGUAGCCGGCCUGAGAGGGUGACCGGCCACAUUGGGACUGAGAGACGGCCCAGACUCCUACGGGAGGCAGCAGUGGGGAAUAUUGCACAAUGGGCGGAAGCCUGAUGCAGCAACGCCGCGUGCGGGAUGACGGCCUUCGGGUUGUAAACCGCUUUCGCCUGUGACGAAGCGUGAGUGACGGUAAUGGGUAAAGAAGCACCGGCUAACUACG